AUAGGCGACCCCAACCUUGGCAACUUUAAGCCUGGAGAACUUCAACUCCCAGAAUACCCCAGCCAGAAAAGCUGGCUGAGGAAUUCUGGGAGUUGAAGUCCACCAGUCUUAAAGUUGCCAAGGUUGAGGACCCCUGCUCUAACAGCUUUAUAUUUAAGGAAAGAAGAUCAAACAUGAUGGAGUUGCCACUUCCAAUGCGAUAUGGAGUUCUGGGAGAUGCAAUCACUACAAACCCAGAAGAUUUCACGUUGGGCAGGAUUGAAGUAUACGAACCUUGGAGUCUGACCACCAAAAUCCUAUGAGAUUUGCCAGCUUCCCAAGACUUCAUGCAACUUUGGAGGGGAGGUCAAGAAAACACAGCGGUGACCUGAACUGAUAAAAGUCGUCUUGUUUCAGCCUGACUGUCUUGGGAUGAAGCCAAUCUGUGAAAGACCACAACACAGAAGGCAACAAGGAAAAGCCAAGUAAGGAUUCCAACACAGCCAGUAUCACUACUGUGGGAUCCUUAGGCAAACGGCCUCCAGAUCUUGAAAGAACCCAAAAUUACAACUAUGCAACUCUGAUCUAUCAAGAAUGUAAGUAAGAAUGUAAGUAAAGUUCUAAGUGUCUCACCAAAGGGAACAUUCUGGCCCCAUUGUUCCUGACCAGAACCCCAAGAAAAGUCUACAAUCAGGACAUGAGAAGAAAUAGGGGUUUCUCCUUCGUGUUGCUGUACAUUGGGGGGGAAAAACUCAACCAGAGCUGCAUUUACUUUCUCUGUUCUGGAGUAAUCAGACAUGUAGUUGUUGCCCAUGGGAUAAAUCACAUCUAGCAGGAGUUCUCAAUCAGCAGGUCAUUAAUGCCCCUGUGGGUCAUGAUUAACGGUGGCUCAUCCAAAUUACUCAGGAUGCACAAAAAAAGUUUGUCUCUUUGUGUCAAUCUGCUGACAAAUUGUUGUUAUGGAUCCCAGUAGCUCUUUCGGGUUCCAAAUCAUGAAUAUUAUACAGAGAGCUCAGCGGGAAUAAUCCAUGAAGGAUUAUUCUAGGAUUGCCAGUUUAAUAUUUCAAAUGCAGAAGGAUAUCAUGACUCAAAUUAAAUGAUCUCCCUACUGGCUGACAUAGUAAGGUUCUUAAACUAAGUGCAUCUCAUUAAUUAGCAACCUGUGGCCACUCUGUUACAGAAUUCUAGAAAAAUCUGUGUGCUCAAGGAGAUAAAGAUUUUAAUAUAAUCAAAAUACAAAUAAAUAUGAGGUCAGUUGGCUAGUAUCCUUGAUUAACCUUCAUGUGUUAUGCUGGAAAAAUAUGGAAGUUUUCAUUUCCCUUCCUAGAACGAUACAAUAAAUACGCCAAACUGAAUGGCCAAAUGCCAAAUUUCCAGUGUUUCAUAAUGAAAUAAGCUUUCAUGUCAGGUAUUUCAUGUCAGAAUCAUAAUUUUUAUAGUCAAAGAUCUAACCUAUAACACAUUUUGAGGGUUAUUAUAAAGUAUUUAUUUAUUUAUUUAUUUUAUUAAAUUUUUAUACCGCCCUUCUCCCGAAGGACUCAGGGCGGUGUACAGCCAAAAUAAAAUACAGAGUAUAUACAAUUAAAAGAAUUUAAAAAAACUAUUACUAAACGGCUGAUAAUUAAAAAGAUUUAAAAAUUUAAAAUAUUAAUAAAACCCCAAUUUAAAAUCAACUAUUUAUGCCAGUCCUGCUUGAAUGAAUAAAUAUGUUUUUAGCUCACGACGAAAGUAUGAUC